rnacentral:rRNA from 1 species
UCUUGGUUCAGGAUGAACGCUAGCUACAGGCUUAACACAUGCAAGUCGAGGGGCAGCAUGGAAGUAGCUUGCUACUUCCGAUGGCGACCGGCGAAUGGGUGAGUAACGCGUAUCCAACCUGCCGUGUGCUCAUGGAUAGCUCUUAGAAAUGAGGAUUAAUACAUGAUGGUCUCCUUUGAUCGCCUGAGAUUGGGAGUAAAGAUUCAUCGGCACACGAUGGGGAUGCGUUCCAUUAGAUAGUUGGCGGGGUAACGGCCCACCAAGUCGAUGAUGGAUAGGGGUUCUGAGAGGAAGGUCCCCCACACUGGUACUGAGACACGGACCAGACUCCUACGGGAGGCAGCAGUGAGGAAUAUUGGUCAAUGGGCGAGAGCCUGAACCAGCCAAAGUAGCGUGAAGGAAGACGGCCCUACGGGUUGUAAACUUCUUUUGUCGGGGAAUAACAAGCGCCACGUGUGGCGCCCUGCAUGUACCCGGUGAAUAAGGACCGGCUAAUUCCGUGCCAGCCGCGGC